AUUUACCCAUGUCUAUAUUUCUCUAAAAUGUUUCGUAAAAUGUAAUUGGUCAUUUAAAAGUGAACUGGUUAUUGCAUUCAGAUUUUGCUAUCCACACAAACAUCAUGCAGCCAAAGAGUAAGUUGGGAUCAUAGUACUGGUCUAGUGUUGUCUCAUUGGACAUAAUUUUACACUGACCAGCCUCCAAAUUCCCACACAGAA